rnacentral:pre_miRNA from 1 species
AGGAGGAACAACCACUGUGGCUGCGCCCAUCUCUGGAGCCCUGGAGUCAGCUCCCGCAGUAACUCCAUAGCUCUCCGUAUGCAGGGCCUGGAGGCUCGGGGCGGG